rnacentral:rRNA from 1 species
UAUGUGAUCGUCUCUCGCAUAUCAAUAAGCGGAGGAAAAGAAACUAACAAGGAUUCCCUUAGUAACGGCGAGUGAAGCGGGAAGAGCUCAAAUUUGAAAUCUUCAAGGUUUUACCUUGACGAAUUGUAGUUUAAAGAAGUGUUUUCUGUUGAAGUUUUGGUAAAAGUUCUUUGGAAUAGGACAUCAUAGAGGGUGAGAAUCCCGUAUUUGACCAUUAUUUUCAGCUGUGUGAUACACUUUCAAAGAGUCGGAUUGUUUGGGAAUGCAGUCCAAAAUGGGUGGUAAAUUUCAUCUAAAGCUAAAUAUUGGCGAGAGACCGAUAGCGAACAAGUACCGUGAGGGAAAGAUGAAAAGAACUUUGAAAAGAGAGUUAAACAGUACGUGAAAUUGUCAAAAGGGAAGCGUUUGACACCAGUGUUGUUUUCUCGAAAAUCAAUUAAAAAGAGUUAGAUUUUGUUGUGUAUUGACCUUAACAGCUUGCAUUUCAAUUUUCUUGCUUUUUUUAAUGCACUUUUCGUUUAACAAGUCAACAUCAGUUUCUUUUGUUGUAAAAAGGUCAUUGGAAGGUGGCUUUCUUUUCGGAGAAAGUGUUUAUAGCCUUUGACUCCUGCAAUCGGAGAGACUGAGGUCUGCAGCGUAGAUCCUUCGGGGUUAGAUACAUUUGUGCUAAGUUAUAGCUUUUUAUAGACAACUUGUUGACUAUGAUUAGUCUCGUAGCUUACUCGCUUAUGCUAUUUUACCUACGCUUAGGAUGUUGAAGAUGUAGCACAUCAU